AUUUGGAGCAGGAAAUUUCUGGAAAUUCAGUCUGCCGAGAACCUUCAGAGAGCCAGGCUCAGGACCCUGCGCUUUCAGGAUACAGGGAAACCUGUGGCCAGCAGAAUCAGGAUGCAAAGAUGUUCUGCCAUCUUCUGGACAGCAAGAGCUGGUGACCUUUAAGCACGGGAUUGAAGGAGGAGGAGUUAGCUGCCUUACUGCAGAAGAAUGUGUACUUUAAGAGAAUUCACCAGAACCUGGUCUCCCUAGGGUACUAGUUCCCUAAACGUGACCUGAUUCCUGGAAGAAGAGGCACCACAAGCAACAGAGGAAGAUGAUGAUGCAGAAAUGUGGAGAAGUCCUCAGAGGAGACCUGAAGAACCAGUCCUGGGGCAGAGCCCUCCCUGCAGAGGAACCAAUCAGAGGGCAGGAAUGGAGGACCUGCUGGUGGUGGACAACUUCUGACAUGUUUGUGUUGGGGUCUUUUCUGAUGACAAGUCAGAAUUGCACCAGGGCCAUCAGGAACAGCAGCGUUUUGGUGAGUGCCAUACCAGUGAGCCACCCUGGGACCUUUGUGCCGGGAAACAAGCCUUGUGGACAGCAUUGAUCUUGGCAGCCCUCCAGGAAAUGACCCCCAGUUACGAUCUUCUCCUGGAGCCCACACCACACCAGCUCCAAGCCAGGGGACCAUGUCACAUGCAAACUUGGCAGAAGACUCUUUAGCAACCAAGUAGUUCUCAGGAGACAUGAGCAAUUCUGUACCAGAAAGAGGCCCUUUAGAUGUGCACAGUGCGUCAGUACCACACAGCUCUCAUGCCACGCUUCAGCAGACACCUGACGUUCUGGUGAGUGUUAUGCCACCACUGUUCUACGCCAUGAGGAAGGGGAGAGAAUACACAAGUGGGCUCGUGAAACAGCAAAAUCUUUUAUUAUUCCAACUACAUAAGUGGAGUCGCUGAUUGAUCAGGACGACCAGAUGAGGACUCAGGAGCCUUGCUUCUUCUGGCAGCCAGGGUUUAUAAGCAAGCAUCUGACCCAAGUUACAGUUCUAAUUCUCACUAAUAAGGAUUUAGGGAUUAGGAACUUUGCCCAGCGUUGUUCCAUCAUUGUCAACUGAUAUUGAAUAUAAGUUGUUUUACCCAGCCAGUCAAAUUCAUUUCUUCUUUCUGUUGUUAGGAACAGG
ensembl:processed_transcript Zim2 zinc finger, imprinted 2